rnacentral:rRNA from 1 species
UACGUAGGGACCGAGCGUUGUCCGGAAUCAUUGGGCGUAAAGAGCGUGUAGGCGGCCUUUUAAGUCCUGCGUGAAAUCCUGCGGCUCAACCGCAGACGGUCGUGGGAAACUGGAAGGCUAGAGUGCGGGAGAGGAGAGUGGAAUUCCUGGUGUAGCGGUGGAAUGCGCAGAUAUCAGGAGGAACACCGAUGGCGAAGGCAGAUCUCUGGGCCGUAACUGACGCUGAGGAGCGAAAGCAUGGGGAGCGAACAGG